GACGCUGGCGGCAUGCCUAACACAUGCAAGUCGAACGGUAACAGAUAAGAUGAUCUCUUCGGAGUGAAUCUUUGCUGACGAGUGGCGGACGGGUGAGUAAUGCUUGGGAAUCUGCCCAAUAGUGGGGGAAAACUCGGGGAAACCCGGGCUAAUACCGCAUAAUCUCUACGGAGGAAAGAGGGCCUCUACAUGUAAGCUCUCGCUAAUGGAUGAGCCCAAGUCAGAUUAGCUUGUUGGUAAGGUAAUGGCUUACCAAGGCUACGAUCUGUAGCUGGUCUGAGAGGACGACCAGCCACACUGGGACUGAGACACGGCCCAGACUCCUACGGGAGGCAGCAGUGGGGAAUAUUGCACAAUGGGCGCAAGCCUGAUGCAGCAAUGCCGCGUGUGUGAAGAAGGCUCUAGGGUUGUAAAGCACUUUCAAUAGAGAAGAAAAGCUUGAAAUUAAUACCUUCAAGCCUUGACGUAACCUAUACAAGAAGCACCGGCUAAUUCCGUGCCAGCAGCCGCGGUAAUACGGGAGGUGCGAGCGUUAAUCGGAAUUACUGGGCGUAAAGCGAGCGUAGGCUGUUAAUUAAGUCGAAUGUGAAAUCCCCGGGCUCAACCUGGGAACUGCAUCCGAAACUAUUUAACUAGAGUAUGGGAGAGGAAAGUAGAAUUUCCGGUGUAGCGGUGAAAUGCGUAGAUAUCGGAAGGAAUACCAGUGGCGAAGGCGGCUUUCUGGAACAAUACUGACGCUGAGGUUCGAAAGCGUGGGGAGCAAACAGGAUUAGAUACCCUGGUAGUCCACGCCGUAAACGAUGAGAACUAGAUGUUGGGAGGAUUGGCCUCUCAGUGUCGCAGCUAACGCAAUAAGUUCUCCGCCUGGGGAGUACGACCGCAAGUACA
rnacentral:rRNA from 1 species